rnacentral:rRNA from 1 species
AAAUAACGAUGCGGCGCCCAACGGGCGACUGCAAUUGGAAUGAGCAGUAGGUAAAGAGGACGACGAGGAACGAUUGGAGGGCAAGUCUGGUGCCAGCAGCCGCGGUAAUUCCAGCUCCAAUAGCGUAUAUUAAAGUUGCUGCAGUUAAAAAGCUCGUAGUUGAGGCGUGGACGGGGACCGGGUGGGCCCUAGCGGGCGCACUUGGGCAUUUCUCUUGAACAGGGGAUGCGCCCGUCUUUAGCGGGCGUCGGGGUGUCCCACGCGAGUGGGGCGUUCCGGGCGCGCCCGCGGGAUUACUUUGAGAAAAAGAGAGUGUUCAAGGCAGGCGAGACAGCUUGAAUACGUUAGCAUGGAAUAAUGGCGGAGCUUAGCAGCGUCAUGGUAAGCGGCAGACACGGAGAAUAGGGACAGUUGGGGGCAUUAGUAUUCCGGGGCUAGAGGUGAAAUUCUUGGAUUCCCGGAGGACUGACGAGAGCGAAAGCAUUUGCCAAGGAUGUUUUCAUUAAUCAAGAACGACAGUUCAGGGAUCGAAGACGAUUAGAUACCGUCGUAGUCUGAACCAUAAACGAUGCCGGCUGAGGGUGCGCCUUUGCACGAGCGUCACUGGAAGCAGUGACGGGGCGCGUACUCGGGAGAAAUUGAAGCGUUCAGGUUCUGGGGGGAGUAUGGUCGCAAGGCUGAAACUUGAAGGAAUUGACGGAAGGGCACCACCAGGAGUGGAGCCUGCGGCUUAAUUUGACUCAACACGGGGAAACUCACCAGGUCCAGACAUGAGGAGGAUUGACAGACUGAUGGCUCUUUCAAGAUUUCACGGGUGGUGGUGCAUGGCCGUUCUUGGUUGGUGGAGUGAUUUGUCUGGUUAAUUCCGAUAACGAACGAGACCUUGACGUGCUGAGUAGGGCGGGCGUUGCUUGGCGACGCGGCGCGCUUCUCAGACGGACAGUCAGUGUUCAACUGAAGGAGGAGCGAGGCAAUAACAGGUCUGUGAUGCCCUUUGAUGUUCUGGGCUGCACGCGCGCUACACUGAUGGAGACAACGAGUGGAGGCGGCGCAGCGAUGCGCGGCCGGCCUGGGCAGACAUGCCUGGGGAAGCGGGAAACUCUAUCGUGCUGGGGAUCAGUCAUUGCAAUUAUUGGCUGUGAACGAGGAAUUCCUAGUAGGCGCAAGUCAACAGCUUGCGUCGAUUACGUCCCUGCCCUUUGUACACACCGCCCGUCGAUACUACCGAUUGAAUGCUUAG